rfam:Oryza glumipatula chromosome 6, whole genome shotgun sequence.
AAUAAACCCUGUUUUUCGUGUCCAACGUUUGACCGUCCGUCUUAUUUGAAAAAAUUAUGAAAAAAAUUAAAAAGAUAAGUCAUGCAUAAAAUAUUAAUCAUAUUUUAUCAUCUAACAACAAUAAAAAUACUAAUUAUAAAAAAAUUUUAUAUAAGACGGACGGUCAAACGUUGGCACGAGGAUUCACGGUUUGUCUUUUU